CCCACCCAUGACAGAUGAAUUCAUCUACAGUGUUGCCAGGAGCAGCCUCACAGCCUCGUGAGCAAGAAGACAGUGAUGAAUUAUUCAUAGAGAGGCUAGCUCCAUCCUCUCCCAGUGUAGGGCAGCUUUGAGAAGCCCCCUUACUGCAGGCUUUGGCCCCUUACAUAAAAGGAAUGGGUAGCACAGAUAAAGUAGAGUGCCUACCUCCUACCCUUUUGGGAUCCCAACCUAUAAGGUGCCAUUUAAUUUCAUUUUCUUAUGAGGAAGAAAUCCUUUGUCCCACUGUUAAAUAAUGGACACUAGGCAUAGUCGUCCCUGCCAGAGUCCUCUAGUCUCUUGAACAGGGACCUCCCCCUCCCGCCCCCGCCAUCCCUCGGACAGCAGCAGGGGAGUGGGGGAAACCCGGGGAAAUCCCAGGGAUGCCCACAGCAGAGCUGGGAAAUGUCUAGUCUCCCCUCACCCCACUGAUAUUAGCAUGCAGAGAAGCACUUCAUCAGGCUAGAAGAUGCUGUGAGAGUCCUAGCCAGACCCUGUGUGUCAAAUACGGCUGCUAUUUCCAGCAGCUUCUGUGUCAGAGAAGCUCUGUAGCAUUCAAUAUAGCUGAAUCAAUGAUUCCAGAGGACAGGAAGCCAGUUAAAAGGAGUUACGAGGUGCUGAAGUGGAAGAAGAAGAAGUGGAAACUCUCCCAAGAAGCCUUACUACUGACACAGAAGGAAGAUGAAGUAAUAGGGAUGGCUUCUAAGAACAGUCUCUCCAGAGAGCUAUUGGCUCUAGUCUCCCAACACUGCCUGAUUGCGGAUAAGGAGGAAAGUGAAGCUUAACCGGAGCAAGUAGGUCCCUAGAGGGUAGGCGUUGAUGUCUAGACCUCAGGUCUACCUGGAUUUCUCUACUUCCUGACUGCUGAUGUGAAGUAGCUAGCUGCAUCACCACUCAACUGCCACAGCCACAGCCACUCUGCCUGCAAAGUCUGCUUCAUCACGAUGGACCAUAUUCCCUCAAGCUGUGGACCAGAAUAAGCCUCUCCUCUCUCACUCUGCUGCUUCUCAGAUAUUUUCUCAUUGUAAUGAAAAAAAGGUAACAAAUACAACCUAAAGUGGGUAAAAGUUCGCUGUCCACAGUUCUGGUCUCUGGGAGCCUGGGAUCCUCUGAAAGCAUGUCUGGGUUCUGGUGAGAGGCUUCAUCACCUCUAA